UAUAUACCCAAUCACAUCCCCAUUCCUAUUCGAUGUGGGAUUAUUGGGGUGUGACAGACUCCCCCCGUUAAGGCCCUGACGUCCUCGUCAGUCCAAUCACACACACAGCCCAAGAUCACCAGGCGAUGUGAGACUCGUCUCGCUAGCCUUGUCAUCCAGACUCUGGCAUAGCCGGUCACCUUAUCAUUCAGACUCCGGCAUAGCCUAUCACCUUGUCUUUCCGAUCCUAGCUCAGCCGAGACUCAUCUCACACUUCCAG
rnacentral:lncRNA from 1 species